rnacentral:rRNA from 1 species
GAUGAACGCUAGCGACAGGCCUAACACAUGCAAGUCGAGGGGCAUCGGGGCGAGGAGCAAUCCUUGCCGCCGGCGACCGGCGCACGGGUGAGUAACGCGUAUGCGACCUGCCCGUUGCAGGGGGAUAAUCGGGAGAAAUCCCGUCUAAUACCGCGUAAUGCCGCGGGGCUGCAUGGCCCUGCGGCCAAAGGGAGCGAUUCCGGCAACGGAUGGGCAUGCGUGACAUUAGCUAGUUGGCGGGGCAACGGCCCACCAAGGCGACGAUGUCUAGGGGUUCUGAGAGGAAGGUCCCCCACACUGGUACUGAGACACGGACCAGACUCCUACGGGAGGCAGCAGUGAGGAAUAUUGGUCAAUGGGCGCGAGCCUGAACCAGCCAAGUCGCGUGAGGGAUGACGGCCCUACGGGUUGUAAACCUCUUUUGUCGGGGAGCAAAUUCCGUUACGUGUAACGGAGUCGAGAGUACCCGAAGAAAAAGCAUCGGCUAACUCCGUGCCAGCAGCCGCGGUAAUACGGAGGAUGCGAGCGUUAUCCGGAUUUAUUGGGUUUAAAGGGUGCGUAGGCGGACUGUCAAGUCAGCGGUAAAAUACGGGGGCUCAACCUCCGCCCGCCGUUGAAACUGACGGUCUUGAGUGGGCGAGAAGUAUGCGGAAUGCGUGGUGUAGCGGUGAAAUGCAUAGAUAUCACGCAGAACUCCGAUUGCGAAGGCAGCAUACCGGCGCCCAACUGACGCUGAAGCACGAAAGCGUGGGUAUCGAACAGGAUUAGAUACCCUGGUAGUCCACGCAGUAAACGAUGAAUACUAGCUGUCCGGGGCGAAUGAGCCCUGGGUGGCACAGCGAAAGCGUUAAGUAUUCCACCUGGGGAGUACGCCGGCAACGGUGAAACUCAAAGGAAUUGACGGGGGCCCGCACAAGCGGAGGAACAUGUGGUUUAAUUCGAUGAUACGCGAGGAACCUUACCCGGGCUCAAACGACACAGGAACGUACCUGAAAGGGUUCGGCUCUACGGAGCCUGUGUCGAGGUGCUGCAUGGUUGUCGUCAGCUCGUGCCGUGAGGUGUCGGCUUAAGUGCCAUAACGAGCGCAACCCCCAUCGACAGUUGCUAACAGGUCAGGCUGAGGACUCUGUCGAGACUGCCGGCGCAAGCUGCGAGGAAGGCGGGGAUGACGUCAAAUCAGCACGGCCCUUACGUCCGGGGCGACACACGUGUUACAAUGGCAGGUACAGCGGGAAGCCACCUGGCGACAGGGAGCGGAACCCGAAAGCCUGUCUCAGUUCGGAUUGGAGUCUGCAACCCGACUCCAUGAAGCUGGAUUCGCUAGUAAUCGCGCAUCAGCAUCGGCGCGGUGAAUACGUUCCCGGGCCU